CCUACGGGAGGCAGCAGUGAGGAAUAUUGGUCAAUGGGCGAGAGCCUGAACCAGCCAAGUCGCGUGAGGGAGUACUGCCCUAUGGGUUGUAAACCUCUUUUGUCGGGGAGCAAAAGCCGGACGUGUCCGGCUGUGAGAGUACCCGAAGAAAAAGCAUCGGCUAACUCCGUGCCAGCAGCCGCGGUAAUACGGAGGAUGCGGGCGUUAUCCGGAUUUAUUGGGUUUAAAGGGUGCGCAGGCGGAUUUUUAAGUCAGCGGUAAAAUCGUGGGGCUCAACCCCAUCCAGCCGUUGAAACUGGGGAUCUAGAGUGUGCGAGAGGUAUGCGGAAGGCGUGGUGUAGCGGUGAAAUGCAUAGAUAUCACGCAGAACCCCGAUUGCGAAGGCAGCAUACCGGUGCACAACUGACGCUCAGGCACGAAAGCGUGGGUAUCGAACAGGAUUAGAUACCCGUGUAGUC
rnacentral:rRNA from 1 species